rnacentral:rRNA from 1 species
GAUGAACGCUGGCGGCGUGCCUAAUACAUGCAAGUCGAGCGAACAGACGAGGAGCUUGCUCCUCUGACGUUAGCUGCGGACGGGUGAGUAACACGUGGAUAACCUACCUAUAAGACUGGGAUAACUUCGGGAAACCGGAGCUAAUACCGGAUAAUAUAUUGAACCGCAUGGUUCAAUAGUGAAAGACGCUUUUGCUGUCACUUAUAGAUGGAUCCGCGCCGCAUUAGCUAGUUGGUAAGGUAACGGCUUACCAAGGCAACGAUGCGUAGCCGACGUGAGAGGGUGAUCGGCCACAUGGGAACUGAGACACGGUCCAGACUCCUACGGGAGGCAGCAGUAGGGAAUCUUCCGCAAUGGGCGAAAGCCUGACGGAGCAACGCCGCGUGAGUGAGGAAGGUCUUCGGAUCGUAAAACUCUGUUAUUAGGGAAGAACAAAUGUGUAAGUAACUAUGCACGUCUUGACGGUACCUAAUCAGAAAGCCACGGCUAACUACGUG